rnacentral:misc_RNA from 1 species
AGUUCUCCGACCAUGCUCAUCAAGGCCACCACGAAGUCUUUCCCAGAUCUCAGAUCUCGGGUGUCGCCUUCGUCCAUUCAAGCUGUGAAUUCUACUGCCAGGGUAUCCAGAAUCACUGCCCAUCCCAAUCCCAUCAUCAAAAAAGUCACCACUGAAAUCAAGGAGCCAUCUCUCGUGAGAUAGUAGAUCAUCACUAUUAUCUGCUGAGAAAACAAUAGUCGGAGAGUCGAGAUGCCUCCUAGAACUGCGCCUUGAAAAUGCAUCCCAAAAAAGUCUUCUACUGUUUCUUCUGGCAUCAUGGCCACUCGUGUCAGCAUUGCUGCUAGACAAAAUGCUGGAAGAGAUGCUUACCACAUCUACAUGAAGUACACUUCCAUCUCCCCGGUCCUGUUCCCUAUUGGCCACAAGAAAUCCUAAACCUGAAGGUAUUGCUGCUGGUACAGAUUCAUCUAGUAGAGAAUGAAAAGUUCCUGGAACCUCAGACCUAUGAGGUACAGAAUCAGAGUCGGAAGUAAACAUGCUUGUAACUUCAGCCAUGUGAUUCUCAAUAGAAACCCCAUCAGCAUGUGCAUCUCCAAGCCCUUCAGGAGACGAACUGCUCGGAUGUAUGAUCUCAGGACAGAUAUGAGAACCACCCUUGUCCUCUGAAUUUUCAAUGCCAUCGACUGCAUCCUUGUUAGCCAAAACAUUUACAGAGACAGGUUCUGAAGAUUG